AUUGAACGCUGGCGGCAGGCCUAACACAUGCAAGUCGAGCGGAUGACGGGAGCUUGCUCCUUGAUUCAGCGGCGGACGGGUGAGUAAUGCCUAGGAAUCUGCCUGGUAGUGGGGGACAACGUUUCGAAAGGAACGCUAAUACCGCAUACGUCCUACGGGAGAAAGCAGGGGACCUUUGGGCCUUGCGCUAUCAGAUGAGCCUAGGUCGGAUUAGCUAGUUGGUGGGGUAAUGGCUCACCAAGGCGACGAUCCGUAACUGGUCUGAGAGGAUGAUCAGUCACACUGGAACUGAGACACGGUCCAGACUCCUACGGGAGGCAGCAGUGGGGAAUUUUGGACAAUGGGCGAAAGCCUGAUCCAGCCAUGCCGCGUGUGUGAAGAAGGUCUUCGGAUUGUAAAGCACUUUAAGUUGGGAGGAAGGGCAGUAAGCUAAUACCUUGCUGUUUUGACGUUACCGACAGAAUAAGCACCGGCUAACUUCGUGCCAGCAGCCGCCGUAA
rnacentral:rRNA from 1 species